AAGUACCUAGAAGAUGGUUAAAUAUAAAUCCGUCAAUGGUGAAUAUUGGGAAUCUAAUUAGAGGUGGUGUAGAAAGCUAGAUUUAAUCUAGACUCCUAAAGCCUUCUAUGUGAUGCCCACCUUGCGAGUGCGCGGGAAUUUAUCACUAAGACUAUUUUCUAGGUUUUUA
rnacentral:other from 1 species